ACUCAAUAGAUACCCAGGUAGUCCACGCCGUAAACGAUGGGCACUAGGUGCUUGGGGGGAGCGACCCCCUGAGUGCCGGCGCUAAACGCAUUAAGUGCCCCGCCUGGGGAGUACGGCCGCAAGGCUGAAACUCAAAGGAAUUGACGGGGGCCCGCACAAGCGGUGGAGCAUGUGGUUUAAUUCGACGCAACGCGAAGAACCUUACCUGGGCUUGACAUGUACGGGAAACCCCGGGGAAACCUGGGGCCCUCUUCGGAGUCCGUGCACAGGUGCUGCAUGGCUGUCGUCAGCUCGUGUCGUGAGAUGUUGGGUUAAGUCCCGCAACGAGCGCAACCCUCGCCCCUAGUUGCCAGCGGUUCGGCCGGGAACUCUAGGGGGACUGCCGGUGCCAAACCGGAGGAAGGUGGGGAUGACGUCAAGUCAUCAUGGUCCUUACGUCCAGGGCUACACACGUGCUACAAUGGCGCGUACAGAGGGCUGCGAGCCGGCAACGGUGAGCCAAUCCCCAAAGCGCGCCUCAGUUCGGAUUGUCCUCUGCAACCCGA
rnacentral:rRNA from 1 species